GUGCCAGCCGCGGCGGUAAUACGUAGGGUGCAAGCGUUAUCCGGAAUUAUUGGGCGUAAAGAGCUCGUAGGCGGUUUGUCGCGUCUGGUGUGAAAGUCCAUCGCUUAACGGUGGAUCUGCGCCGGGUACGGGCAGGCUGGAGUGCAGUAGGGGAGACUGGAAUUCCCGGUGUAACGGUGGAAUGUGUAGAUAUCGGGAAGAACACCAAUGGCGAAGGCAGGUCUCUGGGCUGUUACUGACGCUGAGGAGCGAAAGCGUGGGGAGCGAACAGGAUUAGAUACCCUGGUAGUCCACGCCGUAAACGGUGGAUGCUGGAUGUGGGGCCCAUUCCACGGUUCCGUGUCGGAGCUAACGCGUUAAGCAUCCCGCCUGGGGAGUACGGCCGCAAGGCUAAAACUCAAAGAAAUUGACGGGGGCCCGCACAAGCGGCGGAGCAUGCGGAUUAAUUCGAUGCAACGCGAAGAACCUUACCUGGGCUUGACAUGUGCCGGACGGUCCCGGAGACGGGGCCUCCCUUCGGGGCCGGUUCACAGGUGGUGCAUGGUCGUCG
rnacentral:rRNA from 1 species